AUUCAUGAAGUGUACUUAAGCACGUUAAAUUUUCGUUUUAAAAGGUUUCUAUAGAAACAUGAAUA
rnacentral:tRNA from 1 species